ACAGUAUUCGCGUGUAGAGUUGCAUAUAUACUUUUCGGCAGCGGUCCACGUUUUGCGGAUCUUUCCACUCCGGGGAGAAACUGUUUCCAUUCAUCGCGCGCUCCUGCUCACGGCACAACUCACUACAGAGGGCCGGACAGAACGGAUUAGGACUCCAGAUGCGGAGUACAUUACGUUAGCCCGUUCCUUCGGGUCCCGUUGACUUGCACGGACAGCCAACGGAUGUAGACCCGAUGCUGAAUAUGGAUUUGCGACAGAUGGACUAGAUCGCCCCUGGCAGCCUAGAGUUUCAGACACUGCAGCAAUCCCUCUCAGAAACGGCAAGAAUUAAUUAUGUCCCAUUCGUGCAUCUAAGAUCACACUUGGUUACAUAUUUUACACGCCAACUUCCCGGCUAAACAUUGUCUUACCAACAGCAGCGUGCAGCUUGAUCGAAUGCAUGCGCUCGUCGAGCCGGAAACCGCCUGAUUCUUAUCCCUGGACUCUGGAUCUCAGGUUAUCGACACCGACAGAACGUGUAGAGUUGUGGACACCAACGCAAGACUAGAGUCCACGUCUGUCGGUUUGCGUCCCUGAUAGGUGUGAGCACGUGAACCCUACCAACAGACUUCAGCGUUUCGGCGCGGUCUUGAGCGUCAGGGCGCAGCGGAGCUUCGGCGUGUGGCGUCGGCGGAUCUUUGAACGCGCCACGGUUCGCCUCGUUUGUCUCCCCGAACCCUCGAAUCCCAACAUCUGUGUGUCUCUUCAUUUCUUCGAACACAGCUCUGGACGACUUUUGUGUCUUCCGCUUUGCCAACACACUUGACGCGUAAACACAGAGGAUCCUCUGUCUUGAGUGUCUCGUUCAUACAUUUGAACCCUAUCGCCACGGUCUUCGUUUUUGUGCCUCAGUCUUCCGCUACAGCACCGGAUUCAGGUUCUCCACUGUCUGUGCUCGAAACGCGAACCCGACGAACAUCUACUCUCGCGUCUGCGUCUCUACACCCAAAACGCGACCCGGAGCCCCCGAGCAUCCCGGGGCCCCGUGUGGACGCGAGUUCGGACAGGGUUAGAUUCGCGGCGACAGCCCGUCUUCACACCAAUGGAGGUGGAGUUUGCGUCUGCUCGGUUGCCUGUUACUUCUUUCUUGCCAGUUUCGUUUCGCGCGGCCGCUAACCGUUCGUCAUCUGCCAACUUCGGUUUCAAGCCUAUGUCCAGUGGGCUGCGACGACUAGCCAAAUGAAGACGCUUCGGGUACGGCAUCGCGGCACUUGCGCCGCUUUCACCACCGCCUUGGUGUUCCUGAUGCUAUCUGGGCAAGACGCCCUAGUCCACAAGGGCAGUUGAGGACUCGAGUCCAGCUCCAGUCGGUGCUGAGGAGACGAGAAAGGUGUUCGACACUGCUGCACGAGAAAGGACAUUCAACUUCUCUCGAGAAGGAAGCGGGACCCGUUUGAACAGCGCCGACGUGGUCCGUACAGACACGAAGUCGCCGCUGCGCCGUUCAGUGAGAGGCAUAACUGGAAGCGAAGAGAAGCACAGAUGCCAAUACAGAGGAGACCAGACGCUUCGGGGUGAGGAGACGCGUAAGGAAGGGACGAGAACAGGCUCAAUCCUCGGUGUCUGCUGCGUCAUCAACCGAGGAAGAGUCGAAGACCGUGGAAGGCACUCGCGAAACAGAAGAAAUAUCAUCGCGACGGAUCUCGGAUGAAGCCACAACAUUCCUGGCUGAGAAGGCCGGUGCGGAAUGAUUCCGUCCCGUGAACCGUAUUCAAGCUUCCAUUACAACGCUUCGUUGCUGUGGUUGACGGAAAAAACCAUUCGACUUGUCGCCUGUUCGAAUCCGAGUUCUUUGUCCAACCGAUCUGCAACUCCCUUGCCUGAAAAAUGGGGCAAAGGAGCGAGGGUGGCAUGCCAACCUUGGAUGGGCGAGGCUUCGCGUACGCUCUUGGGUCCUCAGAGCGGGAUAGCCGGAAAGCUCUGUUGAAUUGUAAAGUGUGAACGGAUGCGGUGCUCCGCGCACCGCUCUUCGCCCGCCUCGAAACAGAACGAUUCGUUCGCUGGUCUCUUGGAUUCUUGAGAUGGCGGCGGAUGUGACCUGGGUAGCCUCUCUCCCCAAAAACCUAGUGUUCGCACAGCUCCCAUGAAUCGCUGCUUUUGUGGAGCCUUUGUGGGGGCUGUCCGGUGAACGUGGCUGUCUACUGCGUGACAGUGGAAGACGUGCGGAUGUGAAAUGAAUGCCUAAAAGGGAAACCUGCCAGGACCAAAGGUUUCUGUCUCCUCAUGGCUCACCGAGUGACAACGGGCACCCCCCCUGGCUAGGGACACAUGUAUACGUAGGAGAGCUCGCCAAGCUGCACAACGGGAGGCUGAAAGAAAGCCGC
rnacentral:lncRNA from 1 species